AUUGAACGCUGGCGGCAGGCCUAACACAUGCAAGUCGAGCGGAUGAAGGGAGCUUGCUCCUGGAUUCAGCGGCGGACGGGUGAGUAAUGCCUAGGAAUCUGCCUGGUAGUGGGGGAUAACGUCCGGAAACGGGCGCUAAUACCGCAUACGUCCUGAGGGAGAAAGUGGGGGAUCUUCGGACCUCACGCUAUCAGAUGAGCCUAGGUCGGAUUAGCUAGUUGGUGGGGUAAAGGCCUACCAAGGCGACGAUCCGUAACUGGUCUGAGAGGAUGAUCAGUCACACUGGAACUGAGACACGGUCCAGACUCCUACGGGAGGCAGCAGUGGGGAAUAUUGGACAAUGGGCGAAUGCCUGAUCCAGCCAUGCCGCGUGUGUGAAGAAGGUCUUCUGAUUGUAAAGCACUUUAAGUUGGGAGGAAGGGCAGUAAGUUAAUACCUUGCUGUUUUGACGUUACCAACAGAAUAAGCACCGGCUAACUUCGUG
rnacentral:rRNA from 1 species